CUAACCUACCUCCCCCCUCCCUAAAAAAAGAGACCAUAAUUUCACCUCUCUCUCUCUCUCUAAAAUGGACAGAUGGAUCCCUCCCCAAAAACCCUAGCAGCUCUUUCCCCUCUCAAAAAUAGACUCCGUUUCUACACAACAGACGCUAGCCUCAAGUCCUUGCCUCCCUCUCUAAUGGUUGUCACAACCAACAUAGGAAAUUUAGAAUUCAAAAAGAAGUCUGAAGAGAGAUGAUUUCAAAGCUCAACUUUUUCUCUUCAUGGGUUUUAUAAGUUGUAGAAGCUCGAUCUUGUGGUUGCUGUUGCUUGCUCUUGUUGAAUAUAUUCUGCUGAGUUUCAUCUUUAAAGAUUUCAUCUUUCAUCUGGUUUUUUAAAAUUUGUUCUCCAUUUUUGCUGCUAGGUACGUCAAGACUUCUCUGUAAUUCCUUUUAAUUAGGCAAAUGAGACUUGAUUCAAUAUUAUUGUCCAUGUUUAGUUUCAUGUGUUCAUUGUUUGACUUGCUAUAUCUGUUCAUUUGUCUUUUAAUGAUCGAAUGGAAUUGUCUGCAUUUGAUAAAAAUUGCAAUUGGAAUUAUUCAUUGUAACUAAUUUUAAUGAGGCAUAUUGAGGGUUGUAGGCAAAAUUUGUUCAUUGGAUUCUAAAUGAUCUGUUCUGUUUUUUGGUCAAUUAAGGUUGAGUAUACACAUUAGAUUUGUUGAAGUGAGCUAAGUGAUACUCAUGCAUUUAUGCUAGUAGUAAUGGACGAAUCUGGAAAUUGAAUACGCAAGGACUUUCAAAAUUACUAGUAUUUGUGAUUGCAAUUAUUGAGGAUAGUUAUUUUGAUGUACUAAUUCCAAAUUGAAAAUAAGGUUUAAACUUCCUAUAUGUUAGAAUAAUCAAAUUCUUCAUGUCAUGAAUAAUCAUCUGUUUCAUUAUGAGAUUAUAGCUGUAUAUGUUUACUUGUACAGUCCAAGUCUUACAUAGGUGGGCCUGGUGUUAUAAUUUGCCGAUUAAGUGCCCCAAAUUUAAGAAAUAAUCUCACCUAGUGAUAGUAGGGAAAAUUUUGGCCUUUUGCGGCUAAGCUUCAAACUAAUACGACCUUCUUCUUUAAACAUACUUGAGUUUAAACGAAGGUUUCUACUUUAAGUUAGCACUAAUGUAAUUAACACCUGAAUCUGUAGAAGCGGUCCAACUUUUGUCCAGUUCUGUAAUUAAUCUUAACAAUUCAAAAUAUAAAUUCAUGGCUGCCACAUUUAUCCAUAAUCCAUGAUUUUCACAAAUAACCCUAAAGUUAGGAAAAUGAAGUAACUCUUUGAAUAUCGUAGAAAUGCUUUUAGGCGCGCACCUAAUUUAUUAUCCUAAUUGUGUAUAGGUUCGCAUAACAUAAAUCAAAGUACGCGUUCGCUCGACUUUGUUCGAACAAUCUUAUAAUAAUUAAGUGUUAUUAAUUAUGUACACGUACGCGUGAUAUGAUUUUAGCACACCGAAUAAAUGGAUUUACGCACAUGUUAUCCGUUUCCAAUAUAAAUCCAUAAAUGCCAUUAUUAAAAGUGGCAAAAAGUAAACGUACAUAGGUUCUAAAAAUGAGUAAUUAAACAAUUUAAUCAAUCCAGGUAUGAUUAAAAGUGACCGUGCUAAAAUCACAGAAUUCGGAAAUAUCUAACACUUUCUCCCUGGUUAACAAAAUUCCUUACCGCGUCUUUUAGUUUCGCAGACAUUAAAACAGAGUCAAUUUCCUCAAUUUGAGAUUUAAAAUAAACCGGUGACUUGGGAUACCAAAAUAAAUAUUCUAAGUGGUGACUCUGAAUCAAAUAAAUAAUUUUAUUUCGAAUAAUGUCACUUUAAUUGAAAAAACUCCCUAUUCCUUCGGAAAACGGAGGUGUGACAGUUCUAGCCACUCCGCUGGAGAUCCAACCCAGAAUCUAUGGUUCAGGGUUUAGAAUUUGAGCUUGUAAUGUAAUCUGUACUUGAAUUUAUUGCUUGUUGAUAUUACUGUAUUUGUGGGCCUAAUGUGCUAAUUGCCACUCAUUUACCGCUUUGAUAUUUUUAACUGUAUUAAACUGUUUUCUUACGCCUCCUUUCUGAGUCUUCUAAAAAUAAGGUGCACAUGUAUGCGUGACCCACUUUUCUGUUAGAGGUCAUAUCAAAUAGAAAUGAGGUUGGAUCAACAACUAGGUCGGGUAGACUUUCGUUCUUCCGGUACAUUGCCCCCACCUCAGCUCGAGUUGUCCGCUUGGGUAAGCCAUUUUAGAAUGCACCCUUAGGUUUUUAAACCUAGAAUAAUAUAGCCUCAUGCCGGAUCUCUAAUAGGAACGUUUGUUUGCAUCACGUGCAUUUGACUUUGGGGACUCAACACAGAGGUUAGGUCCGUCUAGGAUAGGUGUACCCGAAAUAAAAGACUAUUCUGAUGCAUCCUACGUGCUAUUUGUGCAUUUAUUUUUUCUGGCUUUCAUGUUGAUCGGCUAGGAAAAUAAAAUCAAGAGAAAAAUGAAGAGCGAGGUAGGAGAGAAAUUUGUCCCUUCUGAAAAAUCCCGGUAUUUUGAAAAAGAUUCAAAAAUCUACCGAAAUUUAAAAAAAUGGAAAAAGAAUGUCAUUUCAAAAGGAGUCGAUAUCUUCAAGAAAAAAAGAACAUGCUUUCUUGCUGUGUCAAAAAUGACCAAACUAGGCGUGUCUGAUUCUCACCGGAUGUGAGAUACCCAGGCAAACCUCUUCGGUUCCGACACCAAUUGUUAAAAAUCCAAAAAUAUUUUUCUUUAGUUCCUUCUUUAGGAGUCCUUUCUUAGAAAAUGCCAAACAAAUAAUUUUUUUACACACAAAAAUAUUUUCUCUGUAGAAGUCAUUCUACCCUUUUUAGAAGUCUUUUUCCCAAAUAUUCAAAAUAAAAAAUUAAUUAGAAAUCCAUUUUUUUCUUUCUUCUUUAGAAGUCUUUCUUUCGAAAAUUUCAAAAAAAUAAAUAAAUAUCAAAACCAAAUAUCGAAAUAAAAGACUUUCUUUUGAGAAUUCCAAAUGAAAAAAAAUUAUAUUCCUUUCUAAACGCUUUCAUGGUCUGAGUGUUAUAAAAAAAGUAAAAAAAAAAGAGUUAGUUUAUUUACUCCACUCCUGAUUUUCCUGAACUGCGUAAUGAUCUGAUUCAUGCGGUGUCAUGAUACGUAGAUAAUUCCUAUCAGAUUCGAUCAUAGCCAUAAACAAAUUGAGGGAAUAAUAAAUAGAAAAAAAAGAGUGGAAAUGAAAGAAAAGAGGUACAAAGUGAAAAAGGGACAUUUAAAGGCCGGGAUGACACAUGCAUUCGUUAAAACACAUGGUAGAAACAUUUAACUGUUUAGGUACAUUGCAUCCCAACAUGCGAUCUCCUAUCUGUUAAAUGUCUCAAAACUAACAAGGUUGUUAACUGUGCAAAUUAGCCAGGUUCUGUUUAGGUGGUUGGUUUGUUAGUAUUUUGACUUCCCAUCCUUACGUCACAAGAUCUAAAUGAAAUGUUCCUAUGGCCUCCGAAAGUCAUCUACUAAUUAUCAAUCUUGAGGAUAGCCCAACACCGGUUGUUCCACAACCAUAAUCAGCAGCUACUAAAGAGAAUAGGAUAUUGCGUCUCCGCAUGUUGGAAAUGUGGGACGCUUGGUCUAAUGGUAGGGAACCACCAAGUGUAAUUCCUGGGUUCCCUGAGUUGAUCCCUAGGUCAAGUGAAGCUACCAACGUCCCUAUACCCAACCUAUUCAUCUCGUACAUAUACCCUCCCAUACCAUCUAAUGGUCUUGGCAUGCCUUCUAUGGUUUGCCCCCAAGUGCCAGAUUCAAGGGCACCGCCAACAGUGUUCUCUAUAGCACCAAUCUGCACCCAUAUCACAACCAACUAUACCACAGCCAUAUGUUGAGCCUCCAUGUUCACCUUUCAGGUUCCACAGUUCCGGCCAGAAAUAACAUAUGUGAACCCAUACUCAUUUACUCAACCACCGCAAUAUGGUUUCUUAUUGGAGCAAGAAAAGGUUGUCAAGAAUCUCGAGCAAGAGGACAUGGCUCGGAGGAUAAAAAGCCUGCAACAAAGUCUGAAAAACAUACAACACCUGAAUAAGCAAAAAUGUGUCUCACACUCUGACUUGUGUAUGUUUCCCUAUGUUCAUUUUCCACCUGGCUUCAUGGUGCAAAAAUUUGAAAAGUACAACGAGCACGGAGACCCAAUCGCUCGUCUGAAAUGAUACUGUAACCCUAAGGGGCGCUGGCAGAAAAGAUGAUUUCCUAAUGGCCUAUUUUGGAGAAAGGCUCACCGGAAUUCUUCCGAGUGGUACAUCGAUCAAAAGAUUACUCAUUGGCACGUGUGGGAUGACUUGGCCCGUGAUUUUGUCCACCAAUUCUAGUAUAAUGUGGAUAUCGCUCCCGACAAAAACUCUUUGUCAAUUUAAAAUAGAAAACAGUAGAAAACUUCAAUGAAUAUAUUGUCAAAUGGUGCAAGCAAGCCGCCAGAGUAAAGCCUUCAAUGGAAGAAGUUGAAAUAGUUACGGUCUUCCUACUUGCCCAAGAGGCGGACUACUUCUAAAAUAUGAUGUCUACUAUGGGUAAACCGUUUGCCGAGGCUAUCAAAAUUGGGGAGAUGGUGGAAAAUGGUUUGAAAACGGGCCGAAUCUUGAGUCAAACUGCUUUUAAAGCUGCAUCAUAGGCCGUUCAAAAUUGUUCGGGGUGUUUGAUGAAUAGAAAUGGGAGAGAAAAGGGAGCCAUGAUGGCUUCUAGCUCAAAGGGGCUCACAGGUCAUUCAACCAAUCAUAUAUGCUUCCUAAGGUCCCACAACACUAUUUUUCCCAUCAAGAUGCUGCUUAUGCCAUGUCACCGCCUCCCUAUGCGGUGAUGAACGCGCAAUCUUAAACGCGACCACAACAUUAUACACAAAACCAAGCUCCACCUUCCAGAAAUGCCCAUCUUUACCAAGCUUCGUAUAAUCCCCAACCAAAUGUUUCCCAAUACAAUACUAGCCCAAGAGAGCCCUUCAGAAGGAAUCAGUUCACCCCUAUUAGUGAAUCAUAAUCUAGCUUGUUGCAAAAGCUAGUAAGGCUAGGGCUGCUACAACUAGUGGCCCCGAACCGGCCAAACCCUGAGUCCCUCUCGCACCAAGCUGAUGUUAGAUGUGAAUACCACUCUGGAGAAUUGGGACAUGAUACGAAAGACUGUUGGACUCUUAAAAGAGCGGUGGAAGACCUUAUCGAGAUCCAGGUAAUAGUGCUCAAGGAUGAAGAGGACCCUAAUAUGAUGAACAAUCCUCUACCUACUCACACUAUUGGGCCAGUAGUUGGAAUGAUCUGUGAAGAUGAGAAAUUUGAUCCCGUGCUGAAGGCCAUUACAGCCAUUUUCGAGACAGAAGAAAAGCCAAAAAACGGUCGCCAAACCUAAAAGUCCCCUAUCAGAAGGGAGUCAUGGUAGCCGGUCUUUCUAUCCUUCCUGCAUCCGCAUUAUCUCGGGGUGUGAUCCGGAUGUUUUACUUUAUUGUCUUACUUGUCAAUGUAAACCCUUCUAUCUUUAAAAUUCAAAAUAAAAAAUUCAAAAUAAAAAAAAUCAGUCAAAUGAAAUUAAUAUUUUAUUUUUCAUGAAUGUCUCUUUUUCUUAAUCUUGUCACUUUUUUAAUUAUAUUUUUAGUUCUUUUAAAUGCAUAUUUUAAUGACAUGACAUGCUUGGGGACUUCAUGCCUAGAUUCUAAAACGUUGUCAGACUUCGAGAUAAUGAAUCAAGAAUCAGAAUGCAAUGAAGAUAGGUUUAAGGAAAUAAAACAAAGAAUUAGAACAACUAAUGAAAAAUUGGCUCCGGAUUGGAAUGGACCAUACAUUAUAACGAGAUGUACUAACAAAAGAAAGUGUUGUACCUGGGUAACAUCGAAGAAAAUGUCCCUAAAAUGAUGAUCAAUGCAGGUGCGGUCAAAAGGUACUUUGUUUGAUCCUCCAUAUAGUAUUAAUGUUCCCUGGUUGGGAUGACGAAGGCUUUUAUUCUUGCUACCUAAACACUAUUAAACCAUUUGUAAACCCUUUGAGCUGGUUACUCUUCUUUGAUUACCCUCUUUGGAACCUGAAAGUGUUAUUGAAAAAAAAAUUAAAUGAAAAAUGAAAAAAAGGAAAAAUAAAAAGAAAAAGAAAGAUGUUAUAAUGGUUCGACGAUGCUUUUGCCUGAAAGGUUCCAAAGUUGUAAUUUAAUCCAACUUCUUUUUACCCUAAAAUCAUGUUCAAGUCCUUCCGAUCAAUCGACAAAGAGGUUCAAAAUGGAGGGUAUAGUUACUUUGAUCUGGUGCAUUCAAAUGAGAAAUAAAAUGGGAGACUGUUAUUGGUGAAAACCCUCAUGGGCACCACAAGGAAAUGGUAAGCAGAGAAAUUAAAAUGAAAUAGUCUUGUUAGUGAAAACUCGCAAAGAGCACUAUAAGGCGAUGGUGAGAAGAGAAAUGAGAGUGGUCAGUUAGUGAAAACCCGCACAAGGCGCCACUGAUAAAAAAGAAGGGUUCCCUUAGAGUAUGGCAUCGACACAAUCCUGGGCAAGGUUUCUCAGUUUCUAGGCAAAAGUUGUGAUGAAUUUCUAAGAGUCGGAUAGUUUAAACAGAUCAGACAUCCAGUCCAAAAGGCAUGUCAUGUUCAUUAAAGUUCACAUGUACUCCAGAUAAGUCCUUCUUUCCUUUCCCGAAAGAGACACCUCUUUUCUAAUUCACUAUCCAUUCCAUUGUCUAUUUUCUUUGAAUCUCAUUCAGUCUAACUCAGUUCUAAAACUGAGGCGAAGAAGGGAUGACAUGAUUGAUUUACAGGGCUUUUGUUUGAUACAAGCUAAUAUUAAAGAAGGCACCCAGCAUCGGCAGGGUCAUCGAGUCGACUCCGACUGGCCAUAAUGGCCGAUGCUUUAAAGUCAAAGAUCUUGAAAAAAGAAAAUCAAAGUCAAAUUCCCAUAAAGGAAAAGUAAAGUUGAAAAGGUUAAGUCCUAUGCGACCAACCAUCAUGGUAAAGUUUGGAAAAGGCAAAGGUUUCUCUAAGGCCAGAAAUGCAAUCGGUAUCCAGGAAACAACCAGUUGCAAGUUGAAAUUAUCGUCAAAGAAGCCGGCCAAGAUCAGAUGACUGAAACACUCAAGGCCGCAAAACUAACCACAUUUUCAAACUAACAAAUUGUUCUUUAUAUGAACUAUAAGAAACAGGUGAAAACCAAAGCAACCUUGCGAGAAGCAGGCGCAACCAAAAAGAUACCGCGUGGAGACUAAAAUAGCUCUGCAGCAACAACCCCAAAAGGGAAGUUUUCUCCAAGUUCUUUCUCACUUUUUACUUAUUCUCUUAUAUAUAUAGAAGAAGAAGAAAGAAAGAAAGAAAGAAAAGAAAGAAUGUUCAAAAUCAUAGUAGUAUAGGGUUUUCAAUCCCUAGCUGCAUUUUCAAACAUAGGGUCUCCACUCCUAGUUGAAGUUAUUUAGACAUAGAGGCUCCACUCCCAGGUCUCUUUUCCAACAUAAGGUCUUCACUCCUUUAUUUUAGACAUAGGUUCUCCACUCCUUAGUCGCUUUUCCAACAUAGGGUCUCCACUCCCUAGUUGAUGUUAUUUUAGACAUAGGGUCUCCACUCCCUAGUUACUUUUCCAACAUAGGGUCUUCACUCCCUAGUAGCUUUUCAAACAUACGGUCUCCACUCCCUAGUUGAUUUUGUUUUAGACAUAGGGUCUCCACUCCCUAGUAGCUUUUCCAACAUAGGAUAUCCACUCCCUAGUUGAUGUUUAUAUUAGACAUAGGGUCUCCACUUCUUAGUUGAUUUUAUUUUUGACAUAGGGUCUCAACUCCCUAGUCUCUUUUCCAUCAUAGGGUUUCCACUUCGUAGUUGAUUUUGUUUGAGAUAUGGGGUCUCCACUCCCUAGGCACUUUUCCAACAUAGGGGCUUCACUCCAUAUUUGAUGUUUAUUUUAGACAUAGAGUCUUCACUCCCUCGACUCUUUCCAAUAUAGGGUCUUCACUCCCUAGUUGAUGUUUAUUUUAGAAACAAGAUCUCCGCUCCCUAGUCUCUUUUCCAACAUAGGGUAUCUACUCCCUAGGUUAUUUUAUUUGAGACAUAGGGUCUCCACUCCCUAGUCUCUUUUCCAAUAUAGGAUUUUAACUCCCUAGGUGAAGUCAUUUUAGACAUAGGGUUUUCACUCCCUAGUUGACUUUUUUUAGAUAUAGGGUCUCCGCUUCCUAGUCGCUUUUCCAACAUAGGGUCUCCACUCCCUAGAUGAGUUUAUUUUAGACAUAGGGUCUCCACUCCUUAGUCGCUUUUAAAAAAUAGGGUCUCCACUCCCUAGUUGAAGUUAUUUUAGACAAAGGGUCUCCACUCACUAGUCGCUUUUCCGACAUAGGGUCUCCACUCCCUAGUUAAUUUUAUUUUAGACAUAGGGUCUCCACUCCCUAGUCGCUUUUCGAACAUACGGUCUGCACUCUCUAGUUGAUUUCGUUUUAGACAUAGGGUCUCCACUCCGUAGUAGCUUUUCCAACAUAGGAUCUCUACUCCCUAGUUGAUGUUUAUUUUAGACAUAGGGUCUCGACUCCUUAGUUGAUUUUAUUUUCGACAUAGGGUCUCAACUCCCUAGUCUCUUUUCCAUCAUAGAGUCUCCACUCCGUAGUUGAUUUUGUUUUAGAUAUGAGGUCUCCACUCCAUAGGUACUUUUCCAACAUAGGGUCUUCACUCCCUAGACUCUUUUUCCAACAUAGCGUUUCUACUCCCUAGUUGAUGUUUAUUUUAGAAACAGGGUCUCCACUCCCUAGUCUCUUUUCCAACAUAGGGUAUCCACUCCCUAUGUUAUUUUAUUUGAGACAUAGGGUAUCCACUCCCUAGUCUCUUUGCCAACAUAUGGUUUUAACUUCCUAGAUGACGUCAUUUUAGACAUAGGGUCUCCACUCCCUAGUUUUUUUUCAGCAUACGGUCUCCACUACCUAGUUGAUUUUGUUUUAGACAUAGGGUCUCCACUCCCUAGUCGCUUUUCCAGCAUAGGGUCUCCACUCACAAGUUGAUUUUUUUUUUACACAUAGGGUCUCCCCGGUCUUCGUUUCCAACAUAGGGUCUCCACUCCCUAGUUGAUUUUAUCUUAAGACCUAGGGUCUCCAUUCCCUAGUCGAUUUAUUUUUGGACAUAGGGUUUCCACUCCUUAGUCACUUUUUUCUAGGGUACACCAAUCCCGACUUUUAUUGCUUUUAAUAAUGAAGUAUAUAGAGUUUUGUUACAAAUAACUCACAAAAUUUUCCUAGUGAAAACUGGGAAGAAAAAAAUUUCGUUCGUUCGUUCGUUCGUUUUGGUGUCACGACCAAAAAUCCGUUAACGGUCAUGAUGGUGCCGGACACCAAUAUCUGGCAAGCCAACACUAAAUAGUUAAUUAAAUUCUUGUUUUAAUAUUUUUGAAAUCAUAUGUUUUCAUCAAUUUAACUAAUAAAAAGAUGAACUUUAUAAAAUAUUUAAUAACAUUUUCAAUCUUAAUACAGAAUAUCCAAUCAUCCCAAAACCCGCUGUUACUAGUGCAUGAGCAUUUAGAAGGAAUUAAAAUACAAUACAAUAACUGUUCGGAAUACAAAUUUGGACAGAAAAGAAAAUACAAAUACUAUGAAGGAGACUCUGUUGGUUGUGGAUCGAUACAACUCACCUAAGUCCCCGUGUCAACCACGCUGCUGCACCCACAAGGCCACUAGGCAUACAUGUGCAUGUACAACAAAAUGUAUAGCAAGUGUAGUAUGAGUACGAAAAUAACACGUACCCAGUAAGUAUCUUGUCUAAUCUCGAAGAAGUAGUGAUGAAAGGUCGACUCCGACACUUACUAUGGCCAACAAUAAUAUACUGAUAAUAAGAUAAAUUAUGAAUUUUAUAGAACGACUUUAAACUCGAUAGCAUGAAAUAAGUAAACAAUUCUUUUGUUAAUAGGAGAAAUCCAACUUUACGGUCAUCAUUUAUAAACUUAUCACAAGCCAAUGAGGCAAUAUCAUUUAUUAACAAGGUCCAAGCAAUCAAUUCAAUCAUGCGUAAAUCAUGCCAAGGUCGUAUGGCCCGAUCCAUUAUAAUAUUAAACUGUGCAUUGCCGGAGAGUCAAACGGCGCGACCCAUAGAUGCAUCUAUUUAUUCUAUCGAGGCGUGUGGCCCGUUCCACAAAAGGAAAACACAAUCAAACAUUCAAUCAAGUAUUUAUUCAAGGAGCAUUUAUCCAAGAGAAUGUCCAUCCUUUUUUAACUAUCAAGAAAAUGAAGUUUAACCCUUUAGAAGUUCAUUUACCAAUUCAAUAUGAUUUAAGCAUUUUAAAUUGACAAUAAGUUACAAAUAUUGCAAGUAUAGCAUGCUUUUAGGUCCUAGACUACCCGGACUGAAGCAUAAUAGUAGCUACGCAUGGGCUCUCGUUACCUCAUGCGUAUGUAGCCCCCACAAAUAGAAGCACAUAUUUAAUUAUUUCACCUAUGGAGUUAAUUCCAUCUUACAAGGUUAGAAAGGAGACUUACCUCGUCUCAAAGCCUACGUUGCGGUUCAAGAAUGAACUCAAACCCACAAAUCAGUGCCAAAAAAUCCAAAACUAUUCAAAUGGUGUAUAAACACAUCAAUAUACACUCAAAAAUUCGGAUUCCGGAAAUAUUCGAAGAAAGUAGUUACCCAUAACCUUAUGAAGUCAAAUAUAUAAUUUUUACCAAAUUCCACAACCAUUUUCGUGGUCAAAUCUCAUUUUUAUCCAAAACAUAGGUUUUCAUCUAAACCUUUGAUUUCAUCAAUUUUUANNNNNNNNNNNNNNNNNNNNNNNNNNNNNNNNNNNNNNNNNNNNNNNNNNNNNNNNNNNNNNNNNNNNNNNNNNNNNNNNNNNNNNNNNNNNNNNNNNNNNNNNNNNNNNNNNNNNNNNNNNNNNNNNNNNNNNNNNNNNNNNNNNNNNNNNNNNNNNNNNNNNNNNNNNNNNNNNNNNNNNNNNNNNNNNNNNNNNNNNNNNNNNNNNNNNNNNNNNNNNNNNNNNNNNNNNNNNNNNNNNNNNNNNNNNNNNNNNNNNNNNNNNNNNNNNNNNNNNNNNNNNNNNNNNNNNNNNNNNNNNNNNNNNNNNNNNNNNNNNNNNNNNNNNNNNNNNNNNNNNNNNNNNNNNNNNNNNNNNNNNNNNNNNNNNNNNNNNNNNNNNNNNNNNNNNNNNCCUCAAAGUGCUAGGUGAAAACCCUAUUCCAAAAGCUUCCAAAAUCGCCGAAGAGGUGAAAGGAAAUGAGCUAAAUGGUCUAAGUAUCGGAAUUAAUAUUUGUGCACAGGCCUUAGAUGAUGUAUUUUUGACACCUGGCUCGUAAAUGCGAACCCUGGGUUUCUACUGCCUAGGUCGCGAAUGCGACCCAGAACUCGCAAAUGCACGCCCUGUCAGGCUCGCAAAUGCGACUACCUUUCUCGCAAAUGCGAUCCAAGCCCAUGCUAGGCUUCUUCACAAUUAUGACGUUUUCUCACAAAUGCAAACCAAUACUCGCAAAUGCGAUACCUGCAAUACCAACAAAAGAACACCAGAAAACUGAAAAUUCCAAACACCCAAACUCGGUCCGAAGCCAUCUCGAAACACACCCUUGGCACUCGGGACCUCAAUCAAUUAUUCCAAUGUGUCCCAAAACAUAUUACGAACUUAGUUGAUCCUUCAAAUCACCUCAAGCAAUGCCAAAAUCAUGAAUCAUUCCCCAAUUCGCAGUUUAUGAACUCUAAAACUUCAAACUUUUCAUUCAAUGUCGAAGCCUAUCAAAUCACGUCCAAUUGACCUCAAAUUUGCACACAAGUCACAUGUGACAUUACGGACCUACUCUAACUUCCGGAAUUGGAAUCCAACCCCGAUAUCAAAAGUCCACAUUCGGUCAAACUCCUCAAAAACCUUCAAAUUUCGAACUUUCGCCAAACGACUCCAAAAUGACCUACGGACCUCCGAAUCCACUUCCGGAUGCGCUCCCAAUAUCAAAAUCAUCAUACUGAGCUAUUCCCAGACUCAGAAUCCCAAACGGACAUCAACCCAAAUUUAUGAAAUUCUUCCACAAUACUAAUUUCCACAAUAGGUGUGAAAUACUCCCGAGUCAUGCAAACCCCGAUCCGGGCAUAUGCCCAAGUCCGAAAUCAUACGAAUCUAUUGGAACCUUCAAAUCCCGAUUCCGAGAUCGUCUACUAAAAAUGCAAUCUUAGUCAAUUCUUCCAACGUAAAGCUUCCGAAAUGAGAAUUUCCUUUUCAAAUUAACUCCGAACUUCUCGAAAUUCAAUUCCGACCAUGCACACAAGUCAUAAUACCUAAAGUGAAGCUACUCAUGGCCUCAAACCAUUGUAUGACGUGCUAGAGCACAAAACGACUUGUCAGAUCAUUAUAUUUGGUGUUUGAGCAGGUUUUUACCUCGAGACACAGGGUUUAAGAUGACCAAAAUAAGAAGUAUCAAUGCAAGAUAAAGAAAAUAAAAUAAAAAGUGUGAAUCCAAAUGCAAAAGCAGAUGAACGGAUAUGGAAUGCUCCAGACAUAACUGAAGUCACAAGAAUUGCAUUUCCCGUUUUGAUUAGAAGAAGCUUUAGAAGAAUGAACUAGCACCUGCAGUUAGCAAAUAUCAAGGUUUAGAUCAGAGUCUGCAUGAAGAACAAACCAAGAUUCAAGAUCAAGUUUCAAAAAACUUAGAGAUAGGAACCUUUUAACUUAGAGUGGAUAGGCUUGUUUAGUUUCUUUUCAUUUUGAUUUUGGUGUAAUAAGGAGCUCAGCAAAUAGUAACAGCAGCAACAACAGUGAAAUCACAGCUAUUCGGUCGUCCCACCUACAAAAACCUCCAGAACUACACUGACUUGAUUCCUUUAGAGCCGAGGAUAUAUAGUGCUACGACCCAAAAUUUACUAUUCGUGAUGGCACCUAACCCAACCCGCUAGGUAAGCCAGUUUAAAAACUAUGCAUUUCCAAUUAAAUUAAUAAAACAAUUAAACAGAGGAAUUAUCUAAAAUCUUAUACAUUUCCCAAGGACUGGUAGUACAAAUCAUGAACUUUUAAGAGUAGAAAUUUAAAAAGUGAUAGGAAAUAAAUACAUCUUCUAUUUGAAAAGUACAUAAAUAGAGUUAUAUAAUCUAAGACUACCAUGAACAAGAGGCAGCUACAACGGGGAUGCAGGUACAUCUUCCAAUCCAGCUUCCAUCGAACACAACAACAUCGACAUUCGAUAUUUUCACGCAAUGUGCAUGAAGUGUAGUAUGAGUACAACCGACCACAUGCACUCAAUAAGUAACAAACCUAAACUUAAGUUGAAAGUAGUGACGAGCUGGUACAUAGGUCGGGUCCAAGACCAAUAACAGUUCAUAAUAGUGUAAAGCAAAUAAAUAAAGAAAUAGCUUAGAGAUAAAGUGCUCAGCCUUUUCAUAGUUUUCCGAAAAUAGUUCCACUUUUCAAGUAUACCAAUGAAAGCCCAUAUCCUUUACCGAAAUCGUCAAAAAUAUGAGUAAGUUGGAAAACUGUAACUUUUUUCCAAAAAAUCCUUUAAAUAGUAAAUAUGAUGUUUCAUUUUCUUUCCAGAUAGCAUGUUUGAAAUACCUCUUUAUAACAACAUAUCAAUAUGUGUAAAAAGUCAUGAAUGACGUGAUACCGUACAACAUGAGGAAAAUGCAUCUCUAGGCCUGUAUGUUAUGUGCAAGUCAACUGCGAUGCGACUCAGCAAUAAAACAAUAUGCAUACUCUCAGAGUAUCAAUUCACUCAGUCCUCCUAGUCACUCAAUCCUCCCAAUUACUCGACACUCGCACUCAGUAGGUACCCGCACUCACUAGUGGUGUGCAGACUCCGAAGGGGCUACUUUAGCCCAAGCGUUAUCAUCUGCACAGACAACUCAGGUGUUGCACAUACAACUCACGUGCUAUAAUAUCAAAUUAGAAUCCACACAGAUAACUCACGUGACAUAGUAUCAAUAUCAGAAUCCGCACGAACAACUCACGUGCUAUGUAUCAAUAUCCUACACAAUCAGGCCCCUCGGCCUCACUCAGUCAUCAACCUCUACCAGUCUNNNNNNNNNNNNNNCAUGAAUAUGGCUGCGUAUGAAAUAUAAAUGAAAUAAGUGAGAUGACAGCAGAAACGACCACUAUGGGUGCUAAAAAUAUCAGCAUAAAGCCUAUGCACGAUAUCUAGCAUGACGUACAACUCAAUUACUUUAUAACUUGGUGUAAACAUAGAUAUCAAUAAAGUAGGGCCACUAUAUAGUACCAUCAAGGAAACAAAGUCACCAUUCACAGGGUGCACGCCCGCAUGCCCAUCACCUAGCAUGUGCGUCACCUAAACAAUAAUCACAUAACACAUAAUUCAGGGUUUCAUACCCUCAACAGUAAUUUUAGAAGAGUUACUUAUCUUAAACAAGGCAAUUCCAAUGCAGGGCAAGCCAAACGAUGCUCCAAGGUUGCCAUCACGCGCGUAGCGACCUUUGAACGGCUCAAAACUAGCCAAAAGCAACUCAAAUACAUAUGAUAAAGCCCAAGGAAGAAAUUACAAAUGAUAAAGAUCGAAUUCUACAUCAAAUCCCAAAUCCAGCCAAAAAUCACACCCGGGCCCACGCCUCGAAACUCGACAAAACUCACAAAAUCUAACAAUCCAUUCAAUUACGAGUCCAACCAUACUAGUUUCACUCAAAUCCGACUCCAAAUCGGCGUUCAAAACUCAAAAAUUCAUAUUAUGAAACUUUAGGCUAAAAACCCCAAUUUUCUCUUUCAAUUCAUCAACUAAUUGCUAAAAAUGAAGAUGGAUUCAUGAACUAUAUUCAAAACUGAGUAGAGAACACAUACCCCAAUCCUUGUGAUGAAUUUGCUCCAAGAAUCACCUCAAUCCGAGUCCUACAUUUCAAAAUAUGAAGAAAAAACAAAACCCUUGAUUUUUAUAACUCUGCCCAGCACUUUUGCAUCUGCGGACAAGGGGCCGCAUUUGCGACCUUCGUUUUUGCGGAAAAAGGGAUAGCAUUUGCGAGACAGGCCACUUCUGCGAUGGCAAUGACCGCAUAUGCGACCGCACUUCUGCGCAAAUACCUCCGCACCUGCGGACCUUCACUUCUCGAUGAAAACUCGCAUCUACAACGCUUGGCUCGCAUCUGCGGCUAUCGCACCUGUGCAAACCAGGCAUAAGUGCGGUCAUACCAGAACCAGAAAUCUUCAGCAAUGCAACAUGAAAUGAAAAUGAUCUGAACCUUGUCGGAAACUCACCCGAGCCACUCGGGACCUCGACCAAAUAUACCAACAAGUCCCAUAACAUAACACAGACCUACUCGAGGCCUCAAAACACACAUAACAACAUCGAAACGAUUAAUCACACCUCAAAUAAAAAUCAUUGAGCUUUUAAUCUUCAACUUCCACAACCGAUGCCGAAACCUAUCAAAUCACGUCCAAUUGACCUCAAAUGUUGCACACGAGUCACAUUUAACAUUACAAACCUGCUCCAACUUCCGGAAUCAAAAUCCGACCAUAAUAUCAAAAAAUCCACUCCUGGUCAAACUUUCCAAAAUUUCAACUUUCGCCAUUUCAAUCCAAAUUCCACUACGGACCUCCAAAUCACAAUCCUAAUAUGCUCCUAAGUCCAAAAUCACCCAAUGGACCUAACGGAGCCAUCAUAAAUCCAAUCCAUGGUCAAAUACUAAAAAGUCAAACUUUGUCAAACCUUUCCAAUUUGAAACUUCUAACCGAGAAUCAUUCUUCUAAAUUAAUUACGAAUAACCUGAAAACCAAAACCAACGAUUCACACAAGUCAUAAUACAUCAUACGGAGCUACUCAUGGACUCAAACAACCGAGCAAAGUGCAAAUGCUCAAAAUGACCGGUCGGGUCGUUACAUCCUCCCCCACUUAAAUAUACAUUUGUCCUCGAAUGUGCCCGGAGUUGUUCCAAAAGCCAACAAAUCGUCGGGUAACCUUACCAUGCACAUACUCAGGGUUGAUCUCACGUCACCCUAUCCCAUAUAGGUCUGAUAACACAACAUGACUGAAAUUUCUUAAUCCAACUUAGCCCAUAAGCCUUAGAACCCAAUUUCCACAUCCGAAAUUUUCUAUAAAAUAAGAAUCUCGCAUCUACACACCUUAUAAGUCUGAACAAGCUGUAUCAAGCCAUAACCAUAACCCAAGAUUAAAUCACAUGAUAUACCACAUAACUCAAACACUCAUAGUGAUAAUUUCUAAUCACAACAGCUGCUCAAAACAACCCAAUGCUAGUAAUAAACCUCUUAUCAAACAUAGCCUCGGUCAAACACCUUCAUAUACUGCCAGAAACUCAUAACUAUUUACUAGAUCAACAAGUUGUUGAACUCCCUCUCCUUCAAUAGGAACUAUAGUAAAUUUCUAAGCCGAUCAACAUCAAUAUCCUUCUAAAUAUACCCCAAUCAGAUCUGAUAGCACCCAUUUUAGCCCAAUGACCUCAUCUCAUCCAACACGACCACUCUAGUGACAUGACAUAUCAAUGAAAUCAAAAGCCACAACCUACACAAUUUGUGCAUUAAUAAGCAACAUUCCAAAUGUACUCAACAUGGAAAAUGACAUCAGACAAGAGAACUGUCACGCAAGCUCAACGGAUAUUACCACGACGCAAUGCUAAGAACCUAUCACACAACGCAGAUCUCAAACACACGAAUCUAACACAAAGGAUCUUAUCUCUACAUAACUCUGAUACAAUGCGUGACCCCAUCCAAAUGUUGGUUCAUAUUAUAUACUUCGAGCCACCCUGCUCAAAAUCCAUAACCACUUUAAAUUCGACAUCAAGCACCCAAAGUGCAUUAUCCUAACCAUGGAGAUCAAAUAGCAUAAUGCCACCAUCCAGAAUGAACAUAGCCAACGCACAAUACAUCAUGCAAUACCUGAAUACUCAUCUUGCUCAAAUUUCCACUAGAAGCCCAAAUAGAACCGCACCAUGUAUGCAUAUAACUAACGAUUCACAACUCCUCGUAACGUAGAAGAGUAACUUAUAUAUCAUUCAGAACACAAAUAAGCUCAACAACACCCGAAUGACACAUCCCUCAACAAUAGCAGUAUCGAGCUAACCAAUGGACCACCAAAUGAACUAUAGUCAUCCACAAAUAGAUAAAUAACCUGCCGAAAGUCCAUAAUGACUGAAUCACAAAACAUAAUAUCCUCUUCCCAACCUUGGCUACUUGUUCACAUUCCACAACCACGAAAUAAUAUACUCAUGUGAACCUAUAGUCUCCAAAUCCAUAUAACACACAAAUCUUCUAUAAUUCUUUUGAGCCACAAAGAAAAAUUAGAAAAUCAGCAGUCGAUCAACUAGGAGCGCACCCACAAUACUAAUGAAGUAUUCAUAAUUCAAAAGACAUCGCCCCUUCGGAAAUGUAUACUCUAAUCAAGCUAUACCAAAUAGUAAUGUCAUUUACCUAGUCAUCUGAAACCAUCCAUGCUGCCUAAGGACUCAUAACCUUCCCCUUCAAAACUGAACUGUGACCUUACACUUGCAAAUCUCAAUCCUACACAACACACUGCAUAUACUAUGCAAUCAUAUGAAAAAUACAAUAACUUCGCAAUCCACUCCGAGUCACAAGCAACUGCAUACUUAAUUAGCCAAGAACUUUCCACUUGAUCCCUUCUAGGAGAAAAUCACUAUACAUCACAUGAUCCCCAUGCUAGUAGGAAAUAUACAUCUCUAACUGAGGUAGAAACUUUCAAGAACUCUCUGAAUCCCAUUUGCACAAAACUAACCUGUAAGGACUGAAUCGCUCUAACUCAACCCAGCUACGCAGGUUACCAAAAACCCAAGGGAAUUGCCACAAAACACAUGUAGAAGCUCACUACCCCACAAGCACCCAAAGAACCCAUCAUAUCCAUUACCAUGACGAUCCAACAUACUACCAAGUUGUCCUAUUUCUCCUAGUUUCUUCUGAAUUGCCUUCAAAUUGAUACUUCUCCUCGCCAUAAUAUCAUAAUCCUCAACCAAUACUCAUCACCCGAGACCCUAACAUAAAACCACACCGCUUAAAACUCAUAAGCAACCAAAUUCUCUCUUAAGCACCCCAAAAUACCACAAAAAAGAUACUCACUCCGAAGUGACCUCCUACAAAUUUCAAUCUAGUCUUUCACCUUCCUGAUAUUAGAAUGUAGAAUCCAUAAAGAUAUGGAAAUACCGAGAGUCCCGACACCAUCCAAUGUAACCCUAUGACUCUAGCCAUAUACGAACCUAAACAAAUUCUCAAUUGCCACAUAUAAAUCUUGAAUUCAUUAGAACCAUUCUCGAAAGUCAUCCACUCUACUCAAAUCUCAAUAGCACCGCCCAAACGAACCGAACGACUUAUGCCCAUUUGCACACCAACACCCUAAGAUGUAAUUCACAACUCUAAUAAACCAAGUAAGUUUCUACUCCAUGAACUCUACAUCCUUCAUGAAUAACCACUCAAUCUUUCCCUGAUUUUCAUAUACCCAUAGAGUGUAAUACAAUCCAUAUAAAUUCCCUUAGUUGAGUCAGCCUCGAUCCCAACCUAUGUAAGCCAUAACUGAUUCACCAGUAUACCUCAAACUGAAGCCAAUACAACACAUAACCGUGCAAUCAACUUAUCAAUAGCAUAGUACCCCACUUGGCUCAAAGCCAUAGUGCAAAAGACACACAAUAGCUCACAAUGCCAUACUCUAUUACUACCAUAAUACCAUAGUAAGAUUCAACUAAAUCCUUCAUAAGCUCAUGCAUCACAAACCAUCUAAUAUCUCAAAUCAUCUACAAAUCUCGCAUUGACCCUUGUAACAGUCAAGCCAACUCUCAUAAGCGAUCCGAACUCAAAUUGAAACACAUAUAAUUUAUUGGUAAAAGAGGACUCGCUACACAACAACAUAGGGAUCACACAACCCUCAUGACACCUCGCAGGAGAAAACCCACCUGCUUCGCCUCAAACCAAUAUCUCUUAUACCCUUCCACAGUCAUAACCAUUACACAAUCACUUAAGCUUCCUGAGUCUGAACUCAUAUCACGACAUUAAAAUCUCCUUUACUCCUCAACUAAACAACAUGUAAAGAUCCUUCAACACCCCCAUAACUCGAGACUAUAUGUCAAAUCAAGAUGGAAAACAAGCACACAAUUGUUCUUUCUACACCUCAAGCAAACCCUUCCCAUCACAUUAAACCAUAUCAACACAUUUCGCAGUAAUUGUUUACCGUGAAAAUAGUAAUGACAAUUAAAUUUGUAAAAUGAGAUUUUAAAAAUACGUAAUCUAUUUUUAUGCUAGUUGUUAGAGCAGUCGAUGAUAAGAAUAUGAGGUUUAACGGUAUAACACAAGCUAAAGUGGGGCAGAGAUCAAACCCAAGGGAUUGCUGCCCGAUCCUCGGGUUGGUCAAUGAAGAAGCCUCUGGGCCGGUAUCUAGCUCGAUCUUGGGCUAUCGGGGGUAGUCAGGAAUGGGAUAACACUUAAGAUAUGUUUAAACAAGGCUCUUUAUGGCCGAUACUAAGCAAUAAAUGAAGAAUAAGUAUGGAACUAAUAAAUACUAAGAACGGCCUCGAGCUAGUAAGAAAGAGUAAGUUAGAGAGAAGAAAGAGAGAGAUAUUAUUGAUCUUGUAGAGAAGAAUGGAUGGAGCAACCUUAUCCCUUUACAAAGUAGUGUAAGUUCCCUUUAUAUAGGAGGGGAACCCAGAUAUAGUACAACAUGCGUUAGUUAUAAAGUAUGGAGAUGGGACAGCUAGACGUGACGCUUCGGCAUAGGCCCUAGAUAGGCCGACCUUAUCAGACUUAGCCGUGUUCCUUGGGAACUUCCCUUCUACUCGACCUUCGUCUUCUUUGAGCCGGGCCUCGAUGAGUCCCGAGGGAGGAGACUCAGUCGCGGCUCCACGUCCUCGAGGCCUCGAGGUAUUCUACCGAAAUGGCUUGAUAGCGAGAAAUUAAGUCCUCUAAUUUUGCCGAAUACAGAUAGUCUCCGUGUUUCCCAAAACGAAGCGAUAGGAAAUGAUUCUAACACCUGACUCCACGAGCUUCUUAUGGUGACGUCAUACCAAUGAUGCAACUUGUGGUGCGAGUUUUUGCGGCAAUUGCAUCCGCCGGUUAAUUGCAUCUGUCGGUCAAUCUUCCAAAGCCUCGAUGACUGUGUCGUUACCCCCAUAAAUGGGGGUGUUUUGGCUUUGUUUUUUCUAUCCAAAUACAUUCGUUGGCUCAUUUUUCCAUUUCUUCUUAUCAUCUUAUUCCAUCCUUGAUCGCUAAGUUUGAGGCUCAUGGCCUCGAGGCCAUUCGAUAGAGCUCUUGUAGGCUGUGUUGUGGCCUCUUGCCGGAGCUCCCCUUUUUCUAGCAUAACCAUGUCGUCCUGCUGUUGCUGUGGUUGAUGUUACGUCUACUGUUGCUGCCUUUGUUUGCUCGAGAUGAUGACACACGGGGUCAACUUUCCUUGCUCGUAAAAAGCUCUUCGGAUUAUAUACUGCUACUCAACUUCAUACCCCGGCUCGACGUGGUGCUCUGCCCUGAACUGGUAGCUUGCACGACUAGAUGUCCCAAGAAGUGGACUCUAAGUAGCCGUGCAAGCGGGACCGAGGCUCGCCCGGUCCAUUGUCUCUUCGAGGUUCUCUUGGCCAGCGAGGGUCCUCGACCUUCGGAGAGCUACAUCAUUUUUUCAUUCCUCCCUGCCGCUCACCCUAUCCUUUAGGGAUAUCAGUAUGAAAGGGCGGGAUGAGGCUUAUGAGGAUGUAUGCCCGCAGGCACCUAUUGUAGGAGGUGGACCUUCGGAGGUAGACCAGUCUCUAGGCUUUUAUCUCGCAUGUGCACCCUUUUAUUUCUUCCUUUAUGCGUAAGAACCCCUUGCGGGCUUUUAUAAUUGUAUGUAAGGACCCCUUGAGGGCUGUUCUACAUGGAUAUUUAUGAAUAUGAAGAUACUUCCUUGAUUUUUGUUUUCGAUUCUUGCCCUAUUAUUGUAUGCUCCUGUGCCCUUCGAGGCCUUUCAAUAUUUUCCUUUGUUGUUGACCGCUGAUAUCUAACUCGGAUGCAAGCAUUCUGUCCGAUCCUCUACCGAUUGACAUGGCUCUCUUUUCCGAGCCCAUCGUCAUUCCUUGUACCAAGCUUGAAUUGAUCUGAUAGGCUCGGCCCGUCAGGCCCUCCAAGUUGCAUGGAGAUAGUAUGCUGAGUUUUGGAACUUUCGAGAGUGGUAUCCUGAGUGAAGGUCAGCUUUGGGUGCCUGGGGGUCUGCUUUGAACUUGAUGCAGAUAGCCUUUUAAAGCGUAGUGGAUAGACUUCCGUUGAGGAGUUGCCUAUGCUUAGGAGAUGCCUCGAGCCUUCCUAGAACCUUCAUGAUCAGAGCUUUUUGCGUGCUUAGUUUUCUUUUUAGAAAGAAAAACAAUGAGAUCGGGUACCGCCUCCACUUCUAUGAUGGCGUUGAAGGCUUCCUGAAGCCUGACUUUUUUUUGGCGGAGAUCCUCGAGGACAGGCACUACCUCUAGAUUGGAGACAAUACAGUUGACUCCUUGAGGCCUAACUUCUUGUCGAUGGAUGCCUCUAGGGUCGAGUACCACCCCGGGAUCUGUACCGAGGCCGUUGGACUCUCGGGGCUUACUCUAUAUAGGUGAAUCGUUGUUGUUUCCACAUAUAUGUGGGGUAGCUUUUGCUUCUUUGGGAGAUCUUAUUAUUUUGGAUAACUAUCCCUCCACCUUGGCAUCGGGUCCUUCGCUUCUUCAGGCACAAAAAGCGUUGGUGCACGUCCUUGCUUUAGUCUGUCAAUUCUACCAUAGCCAUGUUAGCUACUUCGGCGCCGGCCCGGCAGGGAGGGGAAAGUUCCACUCCCGGCAUUUAGGAUCUGCGGGAGUUUACUCUGAAGACUGCGUCUUUGAUAAGAAAGGAACAUCUAGAUAUGGUAAGGAGAUACUGCGGAUAGAGAGAGGGGAUACCGCUGCAGGUGAUUUCCCCGGAUGAGAUUAUUGCAGACUCUGCUAAUGGAUUCUUGAACGUAUACCUAUAUCCUUUCGCAUUUGGCCCCCUUGAUAGGGCCGUGCUUGAUUUUUGCUUGAAAUAUCAAGUUACUUUGGCGCAGAUACAUCCAUAUGGCGAGUGGUGUUGAUGAUGAGGUUCUUUGCGGAGAGGGCUAGGCUGGAAUUUAUGCUCAGCCACUUCGUCAGGUUGUACCGGCCCUUUCUUCAUCGAGGCCUGUUAACCUUGCGGUGCUGUUAGUCCAUGCAUUUUGUUGUCGAUGAUGAAGAAGAUGGGGAUCAAGAGUUGGUCAGUCGAUUCAUCCGGGUCCGGACGACUGACAUUAUCCCCAUGGAGCUCAUGCCCUUUCUCAAGGGAUGGAAUUACGUGCGUGAGUGGAAUGCCUUGUGCUUCCAUAAGUUUUAUUAUAGUGAAACCUAGUUGAGUAAUUGUGUCUCCUUCCUUUUUGUAACAAAUUCAUAGAUGCUGGGCGAAGUUCUCGAUAUGCCCGACUGGGUCCGGAAGUUGGCGACCCAUUCGACUUGCGAUGAGCGUAGGUGGCGAGCUGUGUCCCAUGACAGAUGGGAAGCGAAAUACUAGGGUAUGUGCAUACGCUACUCCUGCCUUCGUCUUCAUAUAUUUGAGAUGACAUUUUCCUCUUUCUUUUGUAUCGGCUUUUGCCAUUGUAGGCAUCAGACGGUUCCUUAUGGCGAGGAUGUGCUCUUUCGGAGAGGGGAAGGAGUCAUCGGCCUUCGAGCUAAGGGAUAAUGGUGAUAAACGGGAUUUUCUCCCGCAGUGUGGUGGAGCUUUUAAUGGGGCUCAACGGGCCCGUGUCUUCAAGGAGAGGAAAUCGCUCGAGCCUGCUGCUCCCUGAGUGUUUGAUAUCAGAACAGUGGUUCCUCUGAGUGAAUAUGCUGUGGUCAAGGUUGGUUCUUCUGGGGCUGAAGGGGCAGGACCAACAGGACUGUGCUCUCCCUUCGAGGAAGUCCGUCGGCUUCACUUCAUGGUGAGUUUCAGCGCAGUCCUUUUGUAUUUCAUGUCUUCCUUUCUUUAUCGAGUUUUUCUUUUGUAGGCCUAUGAUAGGCUCAGAUCUGAGUUGUUCCGUCAUUGGGCUAGGCAUCGGAAAGCUAUGGAUGAGGGUGAGUCUCUUAGGCUCCUCAGUGAGGAGAAAGAGGUUGAGUUAAUGCACUAGGAAUAUGAGGCAUAUCAGAGCUUGAAUUACGAGAGCUAUUUGACGGAGCAAGUAACCUUUCGUAGUACAUGCUUUGCUCUUUUUGACCCUUAAGGUUAAUCCUUUUGCCUAUCUUAGCUGCAAAAAAAGAUAGAGGCUUUGGAGUACCUUAAGGGAGAAGCCUACCGAAUUAGGAAUGCUUGUAGUAAACUGAGGGCUCAAGUGCAGGCUCAAUCUUUAGAGGAGAGGGGCGCCUUGGCCAGGUUCCUGCCUUCGAGGUCCAACUCCGCUUAGCUUGUGACAACACUACAGUUCGAGCAGAUAUGAUCAGGAAGCUCGAGCUCGAUCUCUCGAAGGUCGGGGCUGAUAUAAUCGAUGCCCGGGCUGAAGCAGCAUUAAGUCAAAGCAAGGGUGAUCAGGAGAUGGCGAUUCAUGUGAAUAACACUACUGAUGUCCAAGCCGAGUUGAAGCGGGCCCUCGAUCGUGAGAAGAGAAUUGUGGAAUAUGUUCACUGCAGAUCCCGAAGAGAGGUGCUCGAGGAGAUCGGUGCUAGGGGCUUCGUUCUCUCGGAGGCAUUAGUUCGAGCAAGGGCGGACGAGCGCGAUGCUCAGUCACUUCUUGCUGACACCAUGGAGAGUGAAUCUGGGGCUAACAGGCUGUAGCCUUUUCGAGAGGAGCGUAGAUUUCGCUGCUUUUCCACUUUGUAUUUGAUAUUUUCAGAGCAUGUUUGUAGAUGGAGAGCCCGCCUUUUGCGUAUGUAAAUAAGAGAAAACUUGAAGCUUUAUCUCUUUGGAUUCUCUUUCUGCAUUGCUUUCGGCCUGUCGGGCUGGUUUGGUGUUUUGUGGGAGCCCCGUGGGUCCGGAGCUAAUUAGGUAGGCCGGGAGGCUCUUAAGUGUGAUUUCUAAUAUGAGUAGGUGUUAGGGACUUUAUGCUUUGCCCAGCUAUUUGGGCCUAGUCUCCGAGUCAGGCGUUGGCUCGAGCUUACCUGACCUUCAAUCUCCUGUGCCUGCAUGGGCGGAUGAUGAUUUUUCUUGAUCCUUGCCCUUGGGCAUUUGUGUUUCAACUGUUUUAGGUCCAGUCUCCGAGUCGCAUUGCGACUAGAGCUUUAAUUGACCCUCAAGUGUUUCUGUGCCUGCAUGGGCGGAUGAAGAUGGCUCUUGCGCUUCGGGUCGAAGCAACCUUUUAAGUGGGUGGCCCGGAGGCUUGUUUGGUUGGUGACAAUGGCACUUAUGUUGUGCCCUUAAGCAUUUGUAGUUAACUAUUUUGGAUCCGAUCUCCGAGUCAGGUUAUGACUCGAGCUCAUUUUUAUCCUCAAGUUUUCAAUUUUUAAGGUGUCGACAGGCUCUUACGUUGUUUGGUCAUUGAGAUCUUUUAGUGUGCGACCCGGAGGCUCGUUUGGCUGGCGACAAUGGCUCUUACGCUUUUGCCCAUGGGCAUUUUGUAGGCUUUAUUUUCCUCUUAUUAAGGUCUUUUUGAAAUGAUUUUGCCUGACUCGUCAUCGGUUCGGGAAGAACCUCGAUUUCAAGUCAUUAGUAGUGAUUUUCGAGCACCUCGGAAGGUUCUUAGCUUGUAGGCUGAGUAGCUCGAAGCCUUGUGAUUUGGAGCUGACAUGGUCGAAACUCAUUUGCCUGUUGAGGGAAACCUGUUUUAACCAUUUCUUUUCGAAGUAUAUUCAAUGUAAUGGCCUGCACUUUUGUUACUGAUAGUCGGGCGUCCCCGAGUCGCGUUAGUUUGGCUGGAGUAGCCAUUUUGACCGUAGUCAUAUGUGUUUGUACGGAGCUUUUUUUGUUCCCAAGUAAUAGUUUAGGCAUCUACACCUAGGGUAUGACCUUUUGGGAUUCUUACAAAUGCGAUGUAUAGCCUAAACUUCGGGAUUGAUUUUUAUGCCUGUAGUAAGGUCUUACAAAAUUCUCAUGCCUGUUGAGGUCUUACAGUUUGUCAUGCCUGUUGAGGUCUUACAAUAUGUCAUGCCUGUUGAGGUCAUACAAUUUUUUGUUGUUAUGUAGAAUAAAUCUUGUUAUACCAAGUCUGCCUGCUCUAGGUCUAACGGCCUCAGGUUUUCCAGUGUACGGCGAUUGGCGAUAGUCUCUGAGUCAUGGAGUUUGCUUAGUCUCGAAGGCAGUUAUUCGUGAGCUCAAAGUUAUCUAGCUUGGGCUUCAUGAGCCCGGAGUUCCGACCCUGGUGUCGUGCAGGUGCCAAAUUGUUGACACUAUGUCUCUGAGUAUUUUGGGACGCAUUUGGUGGAGGGAUCCCUAUCGUGAACAUGCUGAAAUUUCCUUUCUAGAGUAUGAGAUGCUGAAAGAUAUUCUUUUAUUGCUUGGCGUAAAUACAUAACAUUUCGCUGUUUUAUGCUCGGCCCCUGCAGGCGCGGAUCCUUAGACUGUUUGAUCCGAUACAUGAUUCCCUAUUGAAUCUCAGUCUGCCGUUCCCCGGCCCUUCCGAGCGGAUGACACCUUUGGGGGGUGUCCUUCACUAUUUGAUUGUAGAAGAAGGCCUGUGAUCUUGUCGGAUCCUCCUUAGGGGGUACGUUGCUCUGCUAAGAACGUUGCUGGCAAGACCAACCUCGGGGCGGAAGUCCGUCCAAGGGGAAAGAGCGCAACGGGUUUGGUUAAGGCCUUGGGGUAUCCUGGUAGAGUUAAAACUUUCCGAACGCCCUAGCCGGGUGUUUGUAUACAGGUUAGUGAACAAUAACGAAGGAAGGAGGUAGUUUUUCUUUACCAUGGGAUGUGUUGGCGAUGCUCCGAGGUUUGGUAUGUUCCUGCUGUUUCGGGGUGUGGACUCUAGGACAACCCUCCGCCUGUUUACUCGGGCUUGGCCAUAGAUGUGGUUCGCUUACCCUUUGAGUAUUUCGAGAGUGGAGAUAUUGAUGUCGGUGAUGCAUUAUGUGACGCGGAAUUUCCCCUUGUCGAGUAUUGCUUCCUGUCGACGGUUUCAAUUCUGUCCCUUGCAUGGAAUUUCAUCCUUUUGACGGAGUGGGGGAGGCCCUGCCUUCGGGCGAUGCGCCCAUGGUCGUCUGAAUAAGGCGUCCGUGCCUUGCACCUCCUUUGAUGAUAUGGAACUCAGCGUUCCGGUCUGGGCCAGUCAUGCUGUACUGAGAGAAUGGUCUUUCUCCUUGUCGUAGCGAUCGCCAUUUGGAAUCUGUCAAAGAUUUGAGAGGUGGUCAUGUUUUGACCCAGUGGUCUGAGCCGUCCCAUCAUCCUCGGCCCGAUAGUGCUGAUCGAGCCACCAGCACUCAUGUGCACAUGUUUUAUUUAAAAUGGAUUGAUUGAGGAAGAAAGUUACUAGUACGUCAUUGUGAGGUCGAGACGAGGCCUCGGUACCCUCUUUGUUGAAUGUAAGAGCAUCCUUGGGGGUAUAUCCCUAGAUCUGCCUUUCUCCGGUGAUGAGAAAUUUUGCUCUCCCUUUCAAAUGUUCUUGGAAAGGGCCGUCGUUCCUCCAUUGUCGUGGCAAUAUGCUGCUGCCCGUUUUCUUUGUUUCUCCUGGCUGCCUUCCAUACUAGGGACUGAACUUGAAUUCGGUCGCUCGUCAGUUCUCGACGAUGAUUUUUGUUGAGCGGCUUGGCGUCUUUCCUUCGGAGUUGGUGGCUAUCUUCGGCCCCGCGACUGCACUUGCUAUGUAGUUCCCAUGCUAGGUUGUGAUCCCUUUGAGAGGAAUUCAGCCGAAUUGGUCUGAGCAAUUCGAGUUCCCUAGUUUCGCCUACGGCGAACACAAUGUUUGGUAUAGCAAUGUGGAAAUUGUACUCUGAUAGGUGAGGCGCCCUUGUCGGCCAUGCAUUCUGGUCGAAUCUAACUUUGUUAACAAUUCCUCAAGGAUAUUGUCCUUGGGUCAUUCUCCGAUCGUUGCGAGGUAGACUACAUCUCGGGCCGUUCCUCCUAUCUGUGGCAUAUGGGUGGUACCUCCCUCAAUUUGGCAUUGGUUUCUUUGCCAGGAGCCUGUUUGGGUAAGCUGAGCUUGAGGAGGCUCCUUGAUAGUCAUCCACGAACCUGAUUUGUGACUGAUGCCGGGAACGGGUAUCCGACCAAGUUUUGGCUGGGUACCUAAUCAAGUUUUGUUUGAACUGCCCCGAAAUCGUCGGGCUUGGUUUGUUUAGGCUUUGAGUGAAGGCCUGUAUUGCCCAGUCAACUGAGACUGGCGGUAAUAUCAUUUGUUCCAUCAGGGAAUGAGGUGCGAAUUCCCGUGGCGUUUCGUUCUCCCUUUGUUCGGCCCUAGACAUAUCGAGCUCUCCCAUCAUUGCUUCGAUGGCAUCGGCGUAUGUCUUUAUGGAGGAAUUUAUCGGUAUAGUAAGCAAGUUUAUGGGGUCGGGUGCUAGGUUAUGACGCCACAUCAUGGUUUUUAUCGAGAGUGUUUCCCCGAACCUCUUCAAUAAGACGGGCUCGAUCUCAUCAUCUUUUGGGUCGUUGCCUUUUCUUGCGCGCAUAUAGGCGGUGACGUGUUCGUUGGGAUUUACGAUCCCAUUGUACUUAGGGAGUUCUAGUGUUCUGGACUUCUUUGAAAUGGGUUUCGGGGCCACUUCCUCGGGGCACGAUCGUUGCACAAACUUUCACGAACCUGAUUCGAUCCUUUUGGAGAGAUCCCCGAGCCUCUUUACUAUGGCAGGGUCGGCUACCGAUCCGCUACUGCUUGAUCUCUUAUGUACUUGUACGGCGGGUGGAGCUGUUUCUGGUGCUCCUGUGCUGGGAGUCUUUGUAUGGCUUUGUAACCGAGCGACGGCCAACUGUUGUGCCUGAAACAUUUCAAAAAUAACAUGAAGACUAACUUACUGUUCUUCCCGGGCUGGGGUCUUUUGGGCUUUCUGUUGGUCGUCAUGUCGCAUGCUUUCGUUGAUGUGCAAGUUUUCGUCGAUCCACUGUACGUCUUGCGAAACCAUAUCCGCUGGAAUCGGUCCAGGUGUGUUAUCAGGGUUCUGCAGUGGCGCACCAACGACUGGAAUAGCCAUGCCGUUCUCUCUGUGACUUUCGAGGUAGUUGUUCUUAACCGCGUUUACCGAGCUGGACAUUUCGACCUGAAAUCAAGAGAUCUUGGACAAGAAAAAGUCUGAAAGAUAACUUGCAUUUGUAUAAUGAAACCAAUAAGAAAAUAAUCGCUAUUACUUUUAGCCCCACGGUGGGCGCCAAACUGUUUACCGUGAAAAUGGUAACGACAAUUAAAUUUGUAAAUGGGAUUCUAAAUAUACAUGAUCUAUUUUUAUGCUAGUUGUUAGAGCAGUCGAUGCUAAGAAUAUGAGGUUUAACGGUAAAACAAAAUCUGAAGCGGGGCAGAGAUCAAACCCAGGGGCUUGCUGGCCGAAUCUCGAGUUGGUCGAUGAAGAAGCCUCGAAACUGGUAUCCAGCUCGAUUUCGGGCUAUCGGGGUUAGUGAGGAAUGGGAUACCAGUUAAGAUAUGAUUAAUCAAGGCUCUUUAUGUUCGAUAUUAAGGAAUAAAUAAAGAACAGGUAUAGAACUAAUAAAUGCUAAGAACGGCCUCGAGCUAGUAAGAAAGAGUUAGUUAGAGAGAAGAAAGAGAGAGAUAUUAUUGAUCUUGUGGAGAAGAAUGGAUGGAGCAACCUCAACCCUUUACAAAGUAGUGUGGGUUCCCUUUAUAUACGAGGGGAACCCGGAUAUAGUACAACAUGCGUUAGUUAUAAAGUAUGGAGAUGGGAUGGCUGGAUGUGACGCUUCACCAUAGGCCCUGGAUAGGUCGGCUCUGUCAGACUUAGUUGUGUGCCUUGGGAACUUCCCCUUCUGCUCGACCUUCGUCUUCUUUGAACCGGGCCUUGAUGAGCCCUGAGCGAGGGGACUCGGUCGAGUUUCAACGUCCUUGGAGCCUCGAGGUAUUCUUCCGAAAGGGCUUGAUAGAGAGAAAUUAAGUCCUCUGAUUUCGCCGCAUACAGUAAUAUCAUACUCAUCAUGUAGCCAUCUAGCCACAAUUCUACUAAUAGGGACACUACCAAACAUAUAAAUCCAAAAGCAUGUGCUCAUACAAUUAAGACCUUAGUGCUCAGGCUACAGUCAAAACCUGGCCUCAAGUCCUCCAAACUAGCCCAUCAUUAGCGCACUGAGAUCACAUCUCACCACAUCCAUGGAAUCACAAGCUGUCGAUGCACAUCUGAUACCGAGUGCUCAUGUGCGCAUACAAAUGUGUGGAUGGAAUUCAAAGGAUUAUGUUUCAAGCUGAAUCAAUGCUGCACGAUAAGGAAAGAAAGAUGGGAAGUAUAUCCUAAAUGCCUUGUAGCCUCUCGAAGAUAGGUAUGGACAUCAUCAUAAUGAUCCGCAAGACUCUACUAGACACUUGCUCAUGACUUGUAGAACCUAUAAACCUAGAACUUUGAUACCAAUCUGUCACGACCCAAAGUUUACUAGUCAUGAUGGAACCUAACCCAACCCGCUAGGUAAGCAGUUUAACAACUAUCCAUUCCCAAUUAAAUUAACAAAACAAUUAAACAAAGGAAUUAUCUAAAUCCUAUACAUUUUCCAAGGACUGGUAGUAUAAAUUACGAGCUUCUAAGAGUAGAGAUUUCAAACUGAUAGGAAAUAAAUACAUCUUCUAUUUGAAACGUACAUAAACGGAGUUAUAUAAUCUAAGGCUACCAUGAACAAGAAGCAGCUACAACCGGGACGCAGGUACAUCUUCCAAUCCAGCUUCCAUCGAACACAACAAUAUCGACAUUCGAAAUCUGCACGCAAUGUGUAGGAAGUAUAGUAUUAGUACAGCCAACCCCAUGUACUCAAUAAGUAACAACCCUAAACUUAGGUUGAAAUUAGUGACGAGUUAGAAAAUAGGUCGGGUCUAACACCAAUAGCUGUUAGCAAAUCAGAGAUAAAGUGCUCAUCCUUUCAUCAUUUUCCAAAAAUAGUUCCACUUUUCAAGUAUGCCAAUGAAAGCCCAAAUCCUUUACCGAAAUCGUCAAAAAUAUGAGUAAGUUUGAAAACUGUAAACCUUUUCCAAAAAAAUCCUUUCAAAAGUAAAUAUGAUGUUUCAUUUUCUUUCUAGAUAACAUGUGUGAAAUACCUCUAUAUAACCACAUAUCAAUGUGUGUAAAACCCAUGAAUGACGUGAUACCGUACAACAUGAGGAAAAUGCUUCUCUAGGCUUGUAUGUCAUGUGCACGUCAACUGCAAUGCAACUCAGCAAUAAAACCAUAUGCAUACUCUCAGAGUAUCAAUUCACUCAGUCCUCGCAGUCACUCAGUUCUCACAGUCAUUCAAUCCUCCCAACCACUCGGCACUUGGCACUCGCACUCAGUAGGUACCCACGCUCAAUGGGGGUGUGCAGACUCUGGUGGGGCUUCUUUAGCCCAAGCGCUAUAAUCUGCAUGAACAACUCACAUGCUACACGUAUGUCACGCCCCGAACCUGAGGGCGAGACUGGCACCAAAUGCCUCACCUAUCCUUGGGUACCAACUUGCAACUAAGGGACUCUGAACAUAUGAUGUCAUACUUUGGCCAUGAGCCACACUGCAAGAACUGUGAAUGCUGACUAAAUGUCAAUAUAUAACUGGGCCGACAAGGCCGUCAUAACUAUUAUAGCUGACAAACCAACAAAAUAUACAUACAAGGCCUGCAAGCCCAUCAUAUUGUACUAACUGACAGGAUAUGUCUACAAGCCUCUACUGAUGGAUAUACUAUGAUCGGAACAACUCCCCAACCUACUCAUAACUUAAAUACAUAUAUAUAUACAAGAUGUACAUAAGGCUCUAGACCCGGAAACUUUGAAAGGCAUGGAGCUUACCAAUCAAGCUAAACUCGCGCAACACUUAUUGAAGAGGCCUACCCGUCUGUCUGUCUUACCUGCACGCAUGAAAUGUAGCGCCCCCAGAAAAGGGACGUCAGUACAAAAUAAUGUACUGAGUAUGUAAUGGAAUAUACUGAAAGAUGAAACUGAACUGAUAAUAUAAUAACUGCAAGUAGCUGGAAGUCAAAGAUAAUCUGAAGAUAUGCUCAUCUGCUGAUACUGACUCAAUUCUCUCAAUAUAGCGAGUAAAAUAGUUGUUCGGCCCUAUAAGGCUCGAUAUACAUAUUUAUAUCUGCUCUACCAUAGUAGGCUCGCUCAUAAGCGCUUGGCCAUACUAGGCUCUGUAUCUCGACCAACGUAGGCUCGGUAUAUAUAUAUAACCGCUCUACCGUAGUAGGCUCGCUCAUAGGCGCUCAACCAUACUAGGCUUUGUAUCUCAACCAACUAGGCUCGCUCAUAAGCGCUCGACCACAUUAGGCUCGAUCUAUAACUUACCACUGAUCAGAGGUUGCCCAAUUGGGGCCUGCCCAUCGAUUAUAGCUCGAUGGUAAUAAAAAUACUUUUAAUACUGUAUAUAUGUAAAUUCUCUGCUCUUUUGACUGGAAUAAGAAAAUACUCAAUUGAAUAUGAAGUCCUGAUAAGGAGAAUAUUAUAACUUACAAAACUAGGAAAAUAUACGCGAUUUGCGAGACUAGCAAAAAUGUAUGUAAUUUUGCCGCAUCUCUGGAUUAACAUCAUUUUAUGCUUUAAUUUACUAGAAGAAUAAUGCCUAACGCUCCGUCCCAGUAAAAGAGAAGAGACUAUCGAAAUAAAGUUGGUGAACUUACAAAUAUGUAAGAUAACAAAUUUGAAGAUACUUAAUUGAUACCCUCUUUUUGGUUGUAAAAUUUAAUAGUUCAUAAACUUUUGUCUAACCUCUUUUCCUUUUUACUCGAUUGAAUUUUUUAUGUUCGUGCUCACUUGUAAUUAUACAUACUCGCGAGGGUGACACUUAGCAUAACUGGCAUAUACUGUCUCUUAAGCUUAACUUUUCUCACAUUGCUUGCUUUAGGGAAGUGUCUCCCUGAAUGACCAUUCUCUGAAUUCAUCAUGAAUCUUCUUCUGUGGUCCAUUUUAUUACCACCGAAACGAAAUCUUAAAUUUCCAUGAUUCCGAGUAUUUUCCAAUCAUUCAAUCCCUAAUUCUCUUUUUUUUGGUUUGUCUUGUUCACCAGGUUUUACUGAUUUCUAUUACUCUGGGAUCUAUCUUUUCCUUCUGGUAGUCACGUUGGAGUCAUGACUUCAUUUAUCUAAAUGAAGAUAUAACUUUAUGGCCUAUACUCAUUUGUUGUG
rnacentral:lncRNA from 1 species